rnacentral:rRNA from 1 species
AUGCAACGCGAAAAACCUUACCUACUCUUGACAUACUACGAGUUUUUGUAAUGAGAGUGUGCUUUUAAGAACCAAGAUACAGGUGCUGCAUGGCUGUCGUCAGCUCGUGUCGUGAGAUGUUGGGUUAAGUCCCGCAACGAGCGCAACCCUUAUUUUUAGUUGCCUUUAUGGAACUCUAGAAAGACUGCCGGUCAUAAACCGGAGGAAGGCGGGGAUGACGUCAAGUCAGCAUGCCCCUUACACCCUGGGCUACACACGUGCUACAAUGGGCGAGACAAUGAGAUGCAAGCCUGCGAAGGUUAGCUAAUCUACAAACUCGUUCUAAGUUCGGAUUGCAGGCUGCAACUCGCCUGCAUGAAGUUGGAAUCGCUAGUAAUCGCUGGUCAGCUAUACA